GUAUUUUGUUUAAUAUUAUUUAUUAAAAAAAAUUUCAGACUUAAUAGUUUGAAGUGUAUAAAAAAAUGGAAACAAACUCUGAGAGGCCAAAAUAAUCUUCCAACUUCCCUUUUCUUUCUCUUCGAAAAAAAAAAAAAAAAAAAUUGAAACAAAAACCUCCCAAAGCAUACUUUUCAAUGAAUGCACAUAAGGUGGAUAUGGAUUAAAUUGAUUUCCAUAUUGGUGGUUCAAUUGUUAAUGAUCCUUCCGCAGGUUCACCUACGGAAA
rnacentral:misc_RNA from 1 species